UGCGCGGUGUGAUCGGUGCGCUCACGCACGGCGCACACCUUACAAGUUUGAGCGGCAAUAACAUUGCUGCACACUAGGAGGGGAGGAGAGUCAGCUCCCUAUAAUAGGAAAAAAACUCCGCCGUUGCACAAAAGCGGAGCGUUUCCUCGCUCGAAAAAACCGUCCCUUCAGAGAGAAAGGGGGGUUGGGGGGAGGAGGGUGCGGGGGGGGGGGGGAGGAGAGGGAAGCAAAAGCAAAAGCAAGUUACCAAGAGCGAGAACUCGCGCAGCAACCAUCCGCCGCUCUUCCUCCUCUCCUCGGGACCGGAGCGGGGCUCUCCCCCUCCCCCCUGGCGAGGGCCCAGCCGCGCUCCGCCGCCUUUCUUAUUACUUCAUUGAGCCUGAGCGAUCCUCCAAGAGUCGCGUUUUGGGGAGGGGGGGGGUAGGGUGGAAGGGGGAGGUGGAGGGACGAGGAGGAGGGAAAAAGGCAACAUUCGCUGCUCAUCAUUUCCACCGCACCGCCAAAGUAACUGCGCCCCCCUCUCCUCCCGUCCCUCAGUCUGGAUUUUCUCUGUAUCCACAGCCGCCGCGCUGUUAGCCGUACCUUUUUCUUUCUUUUUUCAAUUUAGGAAAAAAAAUUUUUUUUAGCUUUGCUCCCCUCCCCCCAGUCCCUCGCAGUCCGGCAUCGUCCCCCCUUACCCCGCGCCCCCCCCCCAGCCCCUCUCCACCUCGCCCGGCAGCUCACAUCAAAGCGCCCUGCCUCACUCCCAGCGGCCGCCACUCACUAAUGGGAUUGCAGCGUGCCCGGCUCCGCCGCUGCAGCCGCCGGAGGGAGAGCCGCUGCCGCUGCGCCUCUUCGCCGAGAGCCGCCGGGUGCUGAGCCGCGGGGAUGAUCAGGAUCUUCCCGGAUUUCAGCGUGCAGGUGACGGCGGCGGCCGGCGGGGCGGCCGGGGGGGUGCCGGCGGCGCCGGGCAUGGGGCGAGCCGGAGCGGCGGCCAACGGGAACCCGCAGAACGUGCAGGGCAUCACCUCGUACCAACAACGGGAAUUCGCAGGGAGCGCCGUUAGGAAGCGGAGCGCACAAAGUUGGCAGGAACUCGCAGAGAAGUUCAGAGAGGUUCCCACCGCCCCAGCCAGCCCCGCUCCGCGCCGGCACUGCCUGAGCUCACUGCGGGCUGAGGUCGGGGUCACGCAAUACUGUGCGGGGCGAGACCCGGAGUGGGGCUCCGGAAGGGUCUCAGGAGCGAAGCAAAGUGCUCACAAGAGUACUGACAACACCUCAAUGUAGGCUGAGGUCGGAGCAACACAUUCACGUUCCUCUAAAUGCAAUAAUGUCCCAACGAACUGACUUUUCAAUACUAAAAAAAUCCUGAGAAAAAUGUUGUAUAAUAACAAAUACUUCAGCUAAAUCUCUCUAUAACGUAGAAGCUAAAACCAUAGAAAGCUUUAAUGUCGUAUUUCAAACAAAUGUUUUAGAAGUCAGACAGAGCAGUGCCUGCUUUGGUCUCAGCAACUUUGGGCUCCCCUCUCUCACUCUGGGAAACACACACUGUGUUUCCCCUCUGAUGCCCACGAUAGAAAAUAUUCGGUGCUAACUUUUUUGGGUUUUAUUAAAGGGAAAGGCAUGAGCACUAACAUCCUGCAACAUCCCCAGUGAUGCCCCAUCACCUCCUUAGAAUCAUUUGAACUAAGCCUGAGCCCUGCUUUGCCACCGACCGUCCCCAUACACAGUGUCUUGUCCGGGAGAGAGGGAAGGAGCGGAUUAAAGUUGGUUUCUUUUCACGGUUGCUCUAUGAUUUUUGUCACUUUUAAAAUCUUUAAAUUACAAUGGAAACUGACGGGCAUUUUAACGAGGAAGUACGGGCAGCGAUCACAAUAGUUGAGGCUGUGAAGUGGGGAAGUCAGGGGUCAGAAAUGUCACAUUGGCUUUUAGACAAAUAAAAGGGACCUCUGGAGACUUUAAGUUAAACAGAAAGAUACAGACGAGGCAGCGUGCGAAUUUGUAGUGCUCGGCGUUGGGGAGUUGGAUUGCGUCAGGCUCCGAGCAGGGGUAGCUCCAAGGGCAGGGCUCUGCCAAACUGUGACGGCCCCGGGCCAGGUGCUGUCCCGCAGCAGCGACCGCUUGGACCCUGGAGCACGCCGGGUGCCUCGGAAACAUUUCUGUGCUUCUUCCGAAUUGUAACUAUUACCGACACGACGGCGUCCUUUACGCUGAACGAUUUUACUCCGAGCUUUCUGGAAAAGCUUAAACCACAGCGGGCACGGACACCUCCUUCCGCGGUUGCACAAACCGAGAAUAACUGUCCAGCAUCCUCUGCCCAACCAAUCAGAAUGUAGGAAAAUCUACAGAUAUGACGGAAUCUACUGUGAAUCUACCUACCAGAAUUUACAAGCUUUGAGGAAGGAAAAGUCCCGAGAUGCCGCUCGCUCUCGUCGGGGAAAGGAGAAUUUUGAAUUCUAUGAGUUGGCAAAGUUGUUGCCACUGCCUGCAGCCAUUACCAGCCAGCUUGACAAGGCAUCCAUCAUUCGACUUACAAUUAGCUAUCUGAAAAUGAGGGACUUUGCUAAUCAAGGCGAUCCUCCAUGGAACUUGAGAAUGGAAGGACCUCCACCAAAUACAUCAGUAAAAGGGAUACAAAUGUGGAAAUCUGAGGUCUGCAUGAGAAAGACACCAUGUGAAGGUGAAAUAAACCUCUUUUAUUUAUUUUAAUUUAACAACAGACCUACUGAUAUAAAUAAUACAACAGUAAGCCUUUUGGGUAACGUACAUUUAACAGUUCAUAGUUAUUUAGCAAUGAUUGUGUUGUUUUUCUUAUUUUAAUAUUUUAUCAAUGGGUGUAUUUGAGAGGAACUUGGUGUUAUUUCUUGUAAGGACUCAGUCACACAAUUUCCAUCAUUAAAGCUUAAAGACAGAAUUGUGUCUUCAAGCUUGUGAACAUAACAUCAAAAAUUUUAAAUCUUUAGGUUAGAGACCAUGAUUUUAUUCAUUAUUUUGCAAUGCGUAUAUAAUUCAUUUUGACUUUUGAGCCUGUAGGCUUAACACUUCAGCUAAUAUAGCCUCUUUUCUAUACUGAAUACCUUCAUCUUUAAACAAGUAGCUGGGUGGUAAAACUAAUGUUUUGGUCAUGAAUCUCCAUACAAGUCUGGUAUUAGAGGAAUCAGAACUUUGAUUUUAGAGGUUAUAUGUGUAUUGUUCCUAGCUAAAGUUUCCGAUGACUUGUAUAAACUGGAUAUUUUUGUGUUAUUUUUUCCUACACUAUUUAUGUAGAAGAGUGAGAUCUUGCUGUUUGAUAAGUAUUAUAAACUAGUGGUUUAUUAAACCACUACUGCCCACAAGGGGUAGUAACCCCUUCAAGUGAAAGGAGUUUUUAGUUGCUCUUUCAUUUAAAGUAAGAAAGGUUGCUUAAGCAAAGUUAUAAUUUUCAGUGGAUGGAGAUAGACAUGGAGAGCAGCAACCAAAAGACUUCUGGGUUGAUGAUGAUCUUCUGGAUCUUGAUGAUUUAUUAGCUGGAUGUAUUUGGGUCACUUUGUAUAUUUCAUUUAUAUUAUUUGCCAUGCCAUGUAUUAUUUUAAUGAAGAAAAAAAAAAAAAAA